GAAUGUGCCACGAAGAGUGGGCUAUUUCGAAUUUCUGAUGCUUUCUGAUAUUUUCGUUGGUAGCUUAGCUAGUUAGCGGUCAUACAAUUGUAAAAUAUUGUUAGCCAGUCAAGCCAGAUAGUGUUCUUGCUUAUAGACUUGUGUAGCCUACCCAGGUCAGUUAUUUAGCUAGCUAGUCAAAGAAGAGGACAAGGUUACUAAAUAAAGGUGGCUAGCUAACGGUAGUUAGCUAGGUACAGAAUCCAGUUCCACCCAAUAACGUAUCUGUGACACAACUGUUCUGCAGCAGGAUGAGUGGAACUGAAGGUGGAGAGCAGUCCCUGUUCUUUCUCAUUCUCCCUGAACUGAGGAAGCUGUGCUGUGUCACCCUGUCCUUGCAGUCUGAUGAUGGAGAAGUGAGAAACAAGCAGGUGAAAACAUGCAGGGAGCUGUUGUUAUUGUAUGCAGACAUCAUUGCCUCUCCGGUUUUGGGGUGCUUCUCGGAGAUCACAAUGGUGAUGGCG